GAGGGAUUAAUUUAAUGGCAAAAUAAUCGCCUUACACGCGAAUAAUCAGUGUUCGAAUCACUGAUCCCUUA